UGAAUUGAUCAAAUGGCUGAUUGACGAUUGAGAAUCGUUUAGAGGUAAAAUAGUCAAUGUGAUUGACUGAUUGCCCUAAGCAAUUGUUGCUUGGAGAAGUUAAUUGGUGAUUGGAUCACUGAUUAGACUCAAUUUGAUUGAGUAAUAGAGAUUGGGCUUGACCAAAUUCAAAUAUGAUUUGAAAUUGGUAAAACCGUAAUUGACACCAAAAUUGGUUUGGUAAAAAUGUCUAAUUUGCCCCAGCCAAAUCAGAUUUGGCUUGAGUCAAAUUGGAUUGAAAUCAAUUAUGAUCCUAAUAUGACUAGGACUUCCUUCCCUUUAUGAUCCUAAUAUGACUAGGACUUUCUUCCCUUUAUGGGACCCACAUACUGGAUGUGGGACCCACGUCCUGCCUAGGUGGGACCAACAUACUGUAUGUGGGAUCCACGUCCUGCAUUUAUGGGACCCACAUACUGUAUGUGGGACCCACAUUCCGGCCACCUCACCCCUUUGCAUGCGUGACACGUGGCAGAGCAGGACACCUCUUUUGCUUGCAUGCGUGACACGUGGCGGAGCAGGACACCUCUUUUGCUUGCAUGUGUGACAUGUGGCGGGCCUGGACACCUCACACUCCUCCUGA
rnacentral:lncRNA from 1 species